UGAGGAAUCUUAGACAAUGGGGGCAACCCUGAUCUAGCCAUGCCGCGUGAACGAUGAAGGCCUUAGGGUUGUAAAGUUCUUUCGCCUGGGAAGAUAAUGACGGUACCAGGUAAAGAAGCCCCGGCUAACUCCGUGCCAGCAGCCGCGGUAAUACGGAGGGGGCUAGCGUUGUUCGGAAUUACUGGGCGUAAAGCGCGCGUAGGCGGGCUGUUAAGUCAGAGGUGAAAUCCCAGGGCUCAACCCUGGAACUGCCUUUGAUACUGGCAGCCUGGAGGUCUGGAGAGGUGAGUGGAAUUCCGAGUGUAGAGGUGAAAUUCGUAGAUAUUCGGAAGAACACCAGUGGCGAAGGCGGCUCACUGGCCAGAUACUGACGCUGAGGUGCGAAAGCGUGGGGAGCAAACAGGAUUAGAUACCCCGCGUAGUC
rnacentral:rRNA from 1 species